rnacentral:rRNA from 1 species
UACGUAGGGGCCUAGCGUUGUCCGGAAUUAUUGGGCGUAAAGAGCUCGUAGGCGGUUCGUCAAGUCGGAUGUGAAAUCUCCACGCUCAACGUGGAGGGACCAUUCGAAACUGCCGUGACUCGAGUCCGGUAGGGGAGUGUGGAAUUCCCGGUGUAGCGGUGAAAUGCGCAGAUAUCGGGAGGAACACCAGUAGCGAAGGCGGCACUCUGGGCCGGUACUGACGCUGAGGAGCGAAAGCGUGGGGAGCGAACAGG